rnacentral:rRNA from 1 species
CCUACGGGAGGCAGCAGUGGGGAAUAUUGGGCAAUGGGCGCAAGCCUGACCCAGCAACGCCGCGUGAAGGAAGAAGGCUUUCGGGUUGUAAACUUCUUUUAUCAGGGACGAAGCAAGUGACGGUACCUGAUGAAUAAGCCACGGCUAACUACGUGCCAGCGGCCGCGGUACUACGUAGGUGGCGAGCGUUAUCCGGAUUUACUGGGUGUAAGGGGCGUGUAGGCGGGAAUGCAAGUCAGAUGUGAAAACUAUGGGCUCAACCCAUAGCCUGCAUUUGAAACUGGAUUUCUUGAGUGCUGGAGAGGCAAUCGGAAUUCCGGGUGUAGCGGUGAAAUGCGUAGAUAUACGGAGGAACACCAGUGGCGAAGGCGGAUUGCUGGACAGUAACUGACGCUGAGGCGCGAAAGCGUGGGGAGCAAACAGGAUUAGAUACCCUAGUAGUC